AACAUAUUGAAUUGCAAAUUCAAAGAAGCAGCUUCAAACUCUGCCGGGGC
rnacentral:tRNA from 1 species